rnacentral:rRNA from 1 species
GACGAACGCUGGCGGCGUGCUUAACACAUGCAAGUCGAACGGAAAGGCCCUGCUUUUGUGGGGUGCUCGAGUGGCGAACGGGUGAGUAACACGUGAGUAACCUGCCCUUGACUUUGGGAUAACUUCAGGAAACUGGGGCUAAUACCGGAUAGGAGCUCCUGCUGCAUGGUGGGGGUUGGAAAGUUUCGGCGGUUGGGGAUGGACUCGCGGCUUAUCAGCUUGUUGGUGGGGUAGUGGCUUACCAAGGCUUUGACGGGUAGCCGGCCAGAGGGUGACCGGCCACAUUGGGACUGAGAUACGGCCCAGACUCCUACGGGAGGCAGCAGUGGGGAAUAUUGCACAAUGGGCGGAAGCCUGAUGCAGCAACGCCGCGUGCGGGAUGACGGCCUUCGGGUUGUAAACCGCUUUCGCCUGUGACGAAGCGUGAGUGACGGUAAUGGGUAAAGAAGCACCGGCUAACUACGUG